AGGACGAACGCUGGCGGCGCGCUUAACACAUGCAAGUCGAGCGAGAACCAGGGCUUCGGCCCUGGGGAAAGCGGCGAACGAGUGAGUAACACGUGAGUAACCUGUCCUCGGCACCGGGAUAGCCCGGGGAAACCCGGAUUAAUACCGGAUGGCCUUUCGAGUCUUCGGGCUCGUCAGAAAAGGUAGCUUCGGCCUCCGGGCCGAGGAGGGACUCGCGGCGGAUUAGCUUGUUGGUGGGGUAACGCUCACCAAGGCACGAUCCGUAGCUGGUCUGAGAGGACGAUCAGCCACACUGGGACUGAGACACGGCCCAGACUCCUACGGGAGGCAGCAGUGGGGAAUCUUGCGCAAUGGUGAAAGCCUGACGCAGCGACGCCGCGUGCGGGAAGAAGGCCUUCGGGUUGUAAACCGCUUCAGGAGGACGAAGCCACUCGGUUAAUAGCCCGAGAGGUGACGGUACCUCCAGAAGAACGCCCGCUACAACGUGCCAGCAGCGC
rnacentral:rRNA from 1 species